AUUGAACGCUGGCGGCAGGCCUAACACAUGCAAGUCGAACGAGUGGCGGACGGGUGAGUAAUGUCUGGGCAACUGCCCGACGGAGGGGGCUAACUACUGGAAACGGUAGCUAAUACCGCAUACCAUCGGAUCUGCCCUGAGGGGAUUAGCUAGUAGGUGGGGUAACGGCUCACCUAGGCGACGCUCCCUAGCUGGUCUGAGAGGAUGACCAGCCACACUGGGACUGAGACACGGUCCAGACUCCUACGGGAGGCAGCAGUGGGGAAUAUUGCGCAAUGGGCGAAAGCCUGAUGCAGCCAUGCCGCGUGUAUGAAGAAGGCCUUCGGGUUGUAAAGUUCUUUCGGCGGGGAGGCGGUACUCGCAGAGGAAGCACCGGCUAACUCCGUGCCAGCCGCCGCGGUAAUAC
rnacentral:rRNA from 1 species